UACGUAGGGGGCGAGCGUUGUCCGGAUUUAUUGGGCGUAAAGAGCGUGUAGGCGGCCAGGUAGGUCUGCUGUGAAAACUCGAGGCUCAACCUCGAGACGUCGGCGGAAACCAUCUGGCUAGAGUCCGGAAGAGGAGAGUGGAAUUCCUGGUGUAGCGGUGAAAUGCGCAGAUAUCAGGAAGAACACCCGUGGCGAAGGCGGCUCGCUGGGACGUUACUGACGCUGAGACGCGAAAGCGUGGGGAGCAAACAGG
rnacentral:rRNA from 1 species